AUCCUGGCUCAGGACGAACGCUGGCGGCGUGCUUAACACAUGCAAGUCGAGCGGAAAGGCCCUUCGGGGUACUCGAGCGGCGAACGGGUGAGUAACACGUGAGUAACCUACCUCGAACUCUGGGAUAAGCCUGGGAAACUGGGUCUAAUACCGGAUGUUCAUCUCCUGCUGCAUGGUGGGGGAUGGAAAGUGUUUAGCGGUUCGGGAUGGGCUCGCGGCCUAUCAGCUUGUUGGUGAGGUAAUGGCUUACCAAGGCUUUUACGGGUAGCCGGCCUGAGAGGGCGACCGGCCACACUGGGACUGAGAUACGGCCCAGACUCCUACGGGAGGCAGCAGUGGGGAAUAUUGCGCAAUGGGCGGAAGCCUGACGCAGCAACGCCGUGUGAGGGAUGACGGCCUUCGGGUUGUAAACCUCUUUCACCAGGGACGAAGCUUUUGUGACGGUACCUGGGGAAGAAGCGCCGGCCAACUACGUGCCAGCAGCCGCGGUAACACGUAGGGCGCGAGCGUUGUCCGGAAUUAUUGGGCGUAAAGGGCUCGUAGGCGGUUUGUCGCGUCAAAAGUGAAAAUCCGGGGCUCAACUCCAGACUUGCUUUCGAUACGGGCAGGCUAGAGGUAGGCAGGGGAGAAUGGAAUUCCUGGUGUAGCGGUGGAAUGCGCAGAUAUCAGGAGGAACACCGGUGGCGAAGGCGGGUUCUCUGGGCCUUACCUGACGCUGAGGAGCGAAAGCGUGGGGAGCGAACAGGAUUAGAUACCCUGGGUAGUCCACGCUGUAAACGUUGGGCGCUAGGUGUGGGAGUCUUUUGUGACGUCCGUGCCGUAGCUAACGCAUUAAGCGCCCCCCCCUGGGGAGUACGGUCGCAAGACUAAAACUCAAAGGAAUUGACGGGGGCCCGCACAAGCGGCGGAGCAUGUUGCUUAAUUCGAGGCAACGCGAAGAACCUUACCUGGGUUUGACAUGUGGGUUAAUCCGGCAGAGAUGUCGGGUCCUUUUGGGAACUCAUGCAGGUGGUGCAUGGCUGUCGUCAGCUCGUGUCGUGAGAUGUUGGGUUAAGUCCCGCAACGAGCGCAACCCUCGUCCUAUGUUGCCAGCACGUUAUGGUGGGGACUCAUAGGAGACUGCCGGGGUCAACUCGGAGGAAGGUGGGGAUGAUGUCAAGUCUUCAUGCCCCUUAUGUCCAGGGCUGCAAACAUGCUACAAUGGUCGGUACAAUGGGCUGCGAGACCGUGAGGUGGAGCGAAUCCCUAAAAGCCGGCCUCAGUUCGGAUCGGGGUCUGCAACUCGACCCCGUGAAGUGGAGUCGCUAGUAAUCGCGGAUCAGCAACGCCGCGGUGAAUACGUUCCCGGGCCUUGUACUCAC
rnacentral:rRNA from 1 species